rnacentral:rRNA from 1 species
UACGUAGGGUGCAAGCGUUGUCCGGAAUUAUUGGGCGUAAAGGGCGCGUAGGCGGCCUGGCAAGUGGAAGGUGAAAUCCCUCGGCUUAACCGAGGAACUGCCCUCCAAACUGCUUGGCUUGAGACCGGGAGAGGUGAGUGGAAUUCCCAGUGUAGCGGUGAAAUGCGUAGAUAUUGGGAGGAACACCAGUGGCGAAGGCGGCUCACUGGCCAUGUACUGACACUGAAACACGAAAGCGUGGGGAGCAAACAGG